rnacentral:rRNA from 1 species
UACGAAGGGUGCAAGCGUUAAUCGGAAUUACUGGGCGUAAAGGGAGCGUAGGCGGACAUUUAAGUCAGGGGUGAAAUCCCAGAGCUCAACUCUGGAACUGCCUUUGAUACUGGGUGUCUUGAGUGUGAGAGAGGUAUGUGGAACUCCGAGUGUAGAGGUGAAAUUCGUAGAUAUUCGGAAGAACACCAGUGGCGAAGGCGACAUACUGGCUCAUUACUGACGCUGAGGCUCGAAAGCGUGGGGAGCAAACAGG